rnacentral:rRNA from 1 species
GAUUAACGCUGGCGGCGUGCAUAACACAUGCAAGUCGAACGAUGAAACUUUAAUGAACCCUUCGGGGAGAAUGAAAGCGGAUUAGUGGCGAACGGGGGAGGAACGCGGUAGUAACCUGCCGUACACAAGGGGAUAGCCUUUGGAAACGAAGAAUAAUAUCCUAUAAAACCAUAAAAGCACAGGCAAUUAUGGUCAAAGUGAUAGCGGUGGAAGAUGGACUUGCGUCUGAUUAGCUAGUUGGUGGGAUAAAAUCCCACCAAGGCAACGAUCAGUAGCCGGCUUGAGAGAGUGUACGGCCACACUGGGACUGAGACACGGCGCAGACUCCUACGGGAGGCAGCAGUGGGGAAUUUUGAACAAUGGGGGAAACACUGAUGCAGCGACGCCGCGUGAUUUAGAAGGCCUUCGGGUUGUAAAAAUCUUUUGUAUGGGAAGAAAAUGACAGUACUAUACGAAUAAGCUCCGGCUAAUUACGUG